UAAACUUGACACUUUUUUGAUUGGUGUUUUUGUAUGGGCUUUCACAGGGAAUGACAAUAUGCUAGCAGGCAGUCUGUGUGUCUUGCUGUUAUGAGGCAGUGUGUAAUAUACCAACAUUACAUGCUACAUUAAUUUGAAUGCAGACUAAUAUUUGCCUGACUUGCCCAAAGAAUCAGCAGACAGUGCCGGAAUUGCAAUGUGCCAGAAUAGUGACGCUUUACACUUCAGGGGAAUCGCAUUAUGAGAGGAGCCAAUGUUCUCAGGUUUAAAACAACAUAAAGAAAAAAGGUCCAUGUCAGAGACUGUGUGGUUCUGCUGUAAUUCCACUGGUGGCUUUGCAGAGGACCAUUUUAACGAGAGCUCAGGGAACUGUUGGAACGGGGAAGUGCCUGUCACCAUCUUUUUGUGUUGCUUGCCUUUGCAAGAGAGAGACAAAAAGAGAGAAAGUGUGAGAUUGUAAGGCAGUCUUACAUUAAAAGUCCAGAAUAGCGCUUUUUUCCACCCCCAUCUCUGUUCGAUAACUAGCAAAAAAGUAGACCACACAACUGGCUCUUUCCUGGUGUUGUUAAUGAAUGCAUGUGUCUUCAAAGGCAUAACUGGAGAGAAGUGAAAGCCCAGGCUGCUCCAAACCAGUCAAGCUGAUC